rnacentral:rRNA from 1 species
AGAGUGAACGCUGGCGGUAGGCCUAACACAUGCAAGUCGAACGGCAGCACGGUAAGAGCUUGCUCUUAUGGGUGGCGAGUGGCGGACGGGUGAGGAAUACAUCGGAAUCUACCUUUUGGUGGGGGAUAACGUAGGGAAACUUACGCUAAUACCGCAUACGCCCUUCGGGGGAAAGCCGGGGACCAGCAAUGGCCUGGUGCUGAUAGAUGAGCCGAUGUCGGAUUAGCUAGUUGGUGAGGUAAUGGCUCACCAAGGCGACGAUCCGUAGCUGGUCUGAGAGGAUGAUCAGCCACACUGGAACUGAGACACGGUCCAGACUCCUACGGGAGCAGCAGUGGGGAAUA